GAUUGCUCUUCGGCAAGCUUUUGAAAACCGGAACAGGAGGGACAAUGACCAGGACCUAAGCUGCGUCCUUCCUUUUUGAUUGACACUUGAAACGCAGCGCGGGAAUCAGCCAGAGGCGCUGCUACAAGCCGAACUCUCUGCUGGGAGAACCGCUGGUGACAUCUGCAGAAGGGCCGACAAAAGGCAGUUGAAAGCCGUGUUUGUUGCUUCCCCCUCAGAUCUGCUUGCUUUCAUGGAGCUCCUUGCUCGCUUUAAUAUUAUGAUUCAGCACCUGGCUUUUUUUGAACCUUGCUUUAAACUUCAAAAGGCGAGGUGGUAUUAACAAACAUGAAACGAAAAAGUGGCGGUAGUUUGAUUUACUGUUGUCGUCUUAUCAAGGGUUUUUUUUUUGUCACCAGCUGCCACGUUCUGUCAUCUCUGGAACCAUUAUCAUUUCUCUAAAAUCUAAAAGAGUCCACUUAAUAACGGCUUUGAAUACAGGCAGGAUCAGUAACAUGCACAGUUCUGGGGAUGACAGGACCAUCAAAUGAAAAGAAAGAUGUUGCCAAAAAAAAAAAAAAAAAAAAAAAAGCCUCAAACCACACAAAUAAGAGCCACAGUUCUUUCUAGUGACCUUGAUUUUCAGAAUUAAACAAAUCAAAUCCAAUUCCAUUGUUCCUUUCGAAUCCCUGAGUGGAGUUUCCUUGAGAAGUUCCUUUUUGUUGUUGGGAGUAACAGGGUGGG
rnacentral:lncRNA from 1 species